rnacentral:rRNA from 1 species
GAUGAACGCUAGCUACAGGCUUAACACAUGCAAGUCGAGGGACCGGCGCACGGGUGAGCAACACGUAUCCAACCUUCCCUUUACUCGGGGAUAGCCUUUCGAAAGAAAGAUUAAUACCCGAUGUAAAGGAUGGGGAUGCGUUCCUUUAGGUUGUUGGUGAGGUAACGGCUCACCAAGCCUUCGAUGGAUAGGGGUUAUGAGAGGAAGCUCCCCCACAUUGGAACUGAGACACGGUCCACACUCCUACGGGAGGCAGCAGUGAGGAAUAUUGGGCAAUGGGCGUUAGCAUGAACCAGCCAAGUAGCGUGAAGGAUGAAGGCUUAUGGGUCGUAAACUUCUUUUAUAUAAGAAUAUGUAUUAUAUGAAGAAGGAUCGGCUAACUCCGUGCCAGCAGCCGCGGUAAUUC